rnacentral:rRNA from 1 species
CGCGUAGGCGGCUCGGUAAGUCUGGAGUGAAAGUCCUGCUUUUAAGGUGGGAAUUGCUUUGGAUACUGUCGGGCUUGAGUGCAGGAGAGGUUAGUGGAAUUCCCAGUGUAGCGGUGAAAUGCGUAGAGAUUGGGAGGAACACCAGUGGCGAAGGCGACUAACUGGACUGUAACUGACGCUGAGGCGCGAAAGUGUGGGAGCAAACA